CAGACAGCAGUACUUGCAAGACGAGCAUACAAACAGUGUUACUAUAUUCAGAAGAACUGUAUCUCCAGUUCCUUUGUUUGGUUUUUGCUGCUUCGUGAAUAAUGGCUGGAUGACGUCUCGCGUUCAACUCGCCUUCAACUCCUCUCCGCGGUCACCAACUUUCGGCCAGUCCGCAGACAGACGAGAAGAAACUGCUGAUGCUCUCAGUGGAUCGUCUCGUCAACUCCAACAACAAACUGACGAUAUCAACGAGCGGUUCGCUCCACUGGAGCGUUCGGGACUCUGCGGGUUUCUGUCCAUGGAGGAGAGGAUGGCGGCUCUGGAGGAACUGACUCAAAGAAGAGGAGACGACGCACAAUCCCAAGAUAGCGGAAGCGGUGCGCCGUCUUCACAACUCUACGAACUACGAACCGGAGCAAGGACUAAUCUUGCCUCAUAAUGAGGCGGUGACCUCGUAUUUGCUCCGGGAAAAGUCCAGAUUUAGACGACGUCAUUGUGUCCUCCUGUAAGACGUAUUGUGAGACGGGACGCAGGAGCUUCAGGUUUUUGCCAGCCGGAACACUCAUUGCGGGCGGAGUCGAGCGAGAAGAAAGAGGCUGCUGGAAUCGAGACAAAGUGUGCUGGCUGAUGACGAGGUGGAACUCCGCCACCGUGGAGCUCACGUCGGACGG
ensembl:lncRNA